CUCGGAGCAGGAUCAUUUGAAGAAAACAAACUAACAGGCUCGGUUUACCGUUCCCAGAGAGUUCCCUGAUGACUGCGUAUCUGUGUUCGACAAAGCGACAUGUAGUAAAUACAGCGUUCAUAGGAGAGAUGACCCAUCUAUUGAAUGAUAAACGAUAAAAAAAAAAUGGCUCAUACAUGUAAUACAAUCAUUUUGCAUGGAAGAAGCAGAUGUGAUGUAUUUUCGCAAGGUCAUGGAAAUGAAUAAAAAUGCAGCAGAUUUUG